GUGAACCAGUUGAUGAUCCUGAAAUUCGUGCUGAAGUCCUGGAGGCAAUAUACAUGAUCACAUUACAGGUCGACUAACUAACAUUUCGUCUGAGUUCUUUCUAAGUGUGCUCUACAUGCAGUAAUUUAUAUCUUGACUUGUUUAUUUAAUGGAUGGUAUAUGGCUGCAUGCUUUCAAAGUUAAAAACUGAUAUCAAGGAAUGUACGUGAUUCAAUAACAAAGGCAGAUAUUUUAGCAUCCAGCAUAUUUAGCAUUCAAAGUUCAUUUUCCAAGGCAGAAAUUUUAUCAUAGUGAGAUCUCAUCUAGCAUCAUCAUUCAUCAGAUCAUAAUGCUCAAAAGAAAUCAUAUUUUCUUUUGGCCAAAAGUAAAAAGAUAUCUACAAAAAGAAAAUGUGAAUGUACUCAUAGAGAGAUGAAGUAACAUCUUGCAUGCCAUGUUAACGAAAAAUAAAAUAGGACAGAAAGCGGGGGGAGGGAAAAAGAUAAUAUUUUACUAAUCUAUUACAUUCUUUUAACUCAUAAACUAAACUGUGAUAGAAAGGCAGCCUCAUGCCUCAAAAAGUUGCAUCAAAUAUUGAUCCACAGGAUACUGCUUUAGUGUACUGAAUCUGAAGCAAAAACACAUCUAUGCUAAUUUGGGCUUUUUCUUUUGUAUAUCUGUUCGGCUUUUGCAGGUGAAAAAUGAUGCAAGCACAAAUGGUUUUCGUUUUUGUUACUAUCUGA
rnacentral:lncRNA from 1 species